rnacentral:lncRNA from 1 species
UAUUUCGCAUACACAAACCAAAAUUUACAUAACUUACCAUGCUUUAUAUACACAAGCUUUUAACUAUAUGUAUCCAAACGCCUCUAAGACUCAAGGUACAUACACAAGGCAUUCGUAUAUCUAUGCCUAUGUGUGACUAUCACAAUUGAAUGAUUACUAGUCUUAUGCACAACCUCGGAUUCACAUAAAUAAAUAUUUAACAUGUCAUUACUUUAUAAACCCCAUUUGGCCCUAAUCAAACAAAUUUAACUUCUAUAAAAAGGUUUUCAUUCCAUGAUCAAUGUAACCAUUUCAUAUUGGUUUUAUCUAUG